CUCAGGCCAGUCAGCCCAGCUGGACAUAAAGCCUGGUUGCUGGACUCACAAUCCAGUGCUCAUUUUACUGCAAGAGCGCCAUGCAGCCUCCCGGCCCAGCCCCAUUCCCCAGGAGGCCUAGUUUCUCAGCCACAGAUGAUAUCAAUUGGUCCCUGGAAAUGUGUCAACCCCUGAGACCAGAAGACAAGUGCCAAGAAGAGAGAAAUACUUGAGAUUCCUGUUAAGGAACAACGCUGGGUUUGACCUGGAUAACCCCAGAGAAUAAGGAGAAAAUAAUCAUGUCAGACAUUACAUAAUCCGGGAAGACACAGACGGAAGCUGGAGCUGGGAGAAAGACCACGGGGAGACGUGUCGACAUGUCCCGACUCGGGGCACACGGGGAUGACAGGGGGAGAGCGCAGCCUCCGGUGCCCAGUGGGAGACGUCAGACGCCAAAGAGUGUCCAGUGUCAGGCUCUGGGAUGUGAAAGGCACUCUGCAUUCUAGCCUCAUAAGAAUCUGAAAAAGUGUACCACUGUCACCGCUCGUUAGCUGAGGAAAAGGAGGCUCAGCAUGCUGGAAGACGUGCCCAAGGACGCAGAGUGUGGGAGUCUGAUGUUGGAGUCUCCAAGCUCAGAUUCUCUCCACUGUUCCUUGGUUUGUCCUCUCUUCAAAUCCUAGAUCCAGAUAAAAGGCAUCCUGAUCCUACAACCGCUUUCUACCUGGGCCUGUCCAAAACCACCACCACCCGCAGUACAACUACCCAUUCUUGAGGGUUCUGUGCUAAGACUCUGCAGUCUCCCAGAAUUAGCAAAUGCUUCUGUAGGGGGCUAAAUGGUGUCCCCCACUCCCCAAAUAUAUUUCCCUGUUCAAAUCCGAAUCCUAGAACCUAUGCUGUUUUAUAUGGCAAAAGAUGGAAUUAAGCUAAGGAUCUAGAAAGAAGUGGCUCAUCCAGGAUUAUCCAUAGACCCUAAAUACAUGACUCAUACCUUCUAAGGUGAGAGGCACGGGAAGUUUCCAGACAGACACACAGGAGGCAGGGAUGUGAAGAUGGAGACAGAGAUUUGAGUGAUGUGGCUAUGAGACCAGAAAUGCCCAGGAUGGGCAACCAACAGAAGCUGAGAGGGCCUCCAGAACCUCCGAGGGGAGCAUGCCCACCCCACACCUGGAUUCGACUCCCAGCCUCCGGACCUGUGAGAGCUAUUGCUGGUAGCCACCAAGUUUAUGUUUUGUUACAGCUGCCACAGGAAGCUAUCCCCUCUCCUAACAGGCCGACUUAUUUGGCCAGGUCCCAUCAGAGGUCAGGAGUGAUGUGGCUCAGAGAUUCAGAGUCACGAGCUCCUAGAUGUGGUCUCAUGGUCUCUUAGUAACAACAAAUCCACAGAUGGAUAGAAUCAAUUAGAAGAUGCUCAGAUUGAAAAUAAACUCUUGAGGUCGGAAGAAACCAAACAGCUGGAGAGAGUGUUGAACUUGCCCGGCAUCUGGGAGACUGGAACCUGCCCUAUCCAGAAAGAUAGGCUUGGGGGUAAAGAAGGCCCAUGUUAGGGUGGGAAGAGCCUCAGAGUAUUGCUAGAAUGUAAUAAGGCAGUAAACAUGAGGCUAGGUGAUCCGUAAUUUGAAUUUUUAAAAAGUGAUCGUCACUCGGGACGCCUGGGUGGCUCAGCAGUUGAACAUCUGCCAUCAGCUCAGGGGGUGAUCCUGGGUUCGGUAUCAAGUCCCAUAUUGGGAUCCCUG